rnacentral:rRNA from 1 species
GCCAUCGGGGGCGAGGCGGCGGCGGUAAGCGGAGGAGUGGAAAGGGUGGUCGGAAUCAGGGGGCGGAAGGGGGACGUAGUCGGCUUGCAAAUGCGGACGUGAAAUCCCUCAGCUCAACGGAUGACGUGGAUCCGGAACGGGCGAGCUUGAGUGCUGAAGAGGUUCGCGGAAUUCCCGGUGUAGAGGUGAAAUUCGUAGAUAUCGGGAGGAACACCAGUGGCGAAGGCGGCGAUCUGGGCAGACACUGACGCUGAGGUGCGAAAGCGUGGGGAGCAAACAGGAUUAGAUACCCGAGUAGUC